rnacentral:rRNA from 1 species
UGGGGAAUAUUGGACAAUGGGCGCAAGCCUGAUCCAGCCAUGCCGCGUGAGUGGUGAAGGCCCUAGGGUUGUAAAGCUCUUUCAACGGUGAAGAUAAUGACGGUAACCGUAGAAGAAGCCCCGGCUAACUUCGUGCCAGCAGCCGCGGUAAUACGAAGGGGGCUAGCGUUGUUCGGAAUUACUGGGCGUAAAGCGCGCGUAGGCGGAUUGAUCAGUCAGGGGUGAAAUCCCGGGGCUCAACCCCGGAACUGCCUUUGAUACUGUCAAUCUAGAGAUCGAGAGAGGUGAGUGGAAUUCCGAGUGUAGAGGUGAAAUUCGUAGAUAUUGGGUGGAACACCAGUGGCGAAAGCGGCUUUCUGGCUCGAACCUGACGCUGAGGCGCGAAAGCGUGGGGAGCAAACAGGAUUAGAUACCCCCGUAGUCC